CCUCUCCUUGUGUUCAGACACUGCGCCCAGCACUGAACCUGCAGCUCAUGACUCCCGGGCUGGAGAGGGCGCUCCGAGGACGGUGGACCACGCGGUGAUCGGGGGGGUCGUGGCCGUGGUGGUGUUCGCCAUGCUCUGUCUACUCAUCGUGCUGGGACGCUACUUUGCAAGACACAAAGGUACCUACUUCACACAUGAAGCCAAAGGAGCAGACGACGCCGCGGACGCAGACACAGCCAUCAUCAACGCAGAGGGGGGGCACACCAACUCAGACGAAAAGAAAGAAUACUACAUCUAAAGAGGACCCCAACCCUCAGUGCAGCGCCCGCUUUAUGGAGCUGUUUCUGGGGCAAGAGGUGGAGGGAAAGAAGGGUGGAGAUGGAGGUGGAGUUUGUUCAGGAUAGAGGGGUUUCAAAGAGAGAAAGAAGGCCUGGUUUCAAACCGUUGUUUAGUCUAGUCUGCAGAUGUAGAUGGAAUGUUUUGUGUGUAAAAAAAAAAAAAAAAUCAAAAAGGACAAAAAAUGGGAGUAGGGUAUUUUUCGGAGGCGGAGUUGGAGGAAGGGGUUUUGGGGGGAUUUGGCGUGCAUUGCCAGAAAAAUCACUGUAGAGAGCUUCACCAUUCGACACCUCCCUAACUGCUGGUACGAAUUUUAUUUAGUUCAACCAUUUGCAGAAAAUUCUGUGCCUUGUUCUAUCCAUACUUUGGAUUUGUGUUCGAUCCUCAUUUCCCCCGUGUCAUCUCCUCAUCGAUGUGCUGUUGGCUUUUUGUAUGAGAGUAAAAAUUACACAGCCACUUUAUUCAUUUCCCCCCUAAAUGUGUCCGCACUCACACACUGCAAAACUCUUUCCAGUAUACUGUGAUUUGUCUCAAGCCAUUGCUCCCUUCUCUCGUUAUUUAAGUUUCGACAGCUCCAGAAAUGCAUGGAAUGCUUCACAUAUCAUUGUACAAAGAACAUAAUGAGAAACAGGUUUCGUGUACUGGAUAUUCUCGCCCUGAACACACUCAAAACAUAAUCAAAAAGAAGGCAGCGAAGGAUAAUACGAAAUGAUUGUCAUUGGUGUUUGCAACCUCAGAGGAGAUCUCUUAAAUAAUCCUUUUGAAGAGAAUAUUUUCCUCACCGUGCUGCCAUUUCAAUAUUUUUAUUUCCUCCUCUCUUUUAGUCUAUGAUCUGUUUUCGCACCAGCUUUAAUUGAGUUGUGAUGAUGAGAUUCAAUUGAUUUCCAUCUGCUCUUGCAAAUGGUUUUGAAAUUGUUUUUCUUGGCACACUCUCAGUCAAGAUGGCUCAGUAAUACGGAAAAAUUGGUGUUAAAAUUGUCCAAAAGAUGUAUUGUACAUAACUUUAACACACAAAAAUAACUGAAACGGCAAAUGAAUUUAUUUUAGGAAGCUUCACAAAACAUCCUCCCUACACAGAAUCCAAUGUAAAUCAAGCCAAUGGAAUCACAGCUGUAUAUUACACUAAUCCUUACUAAGAAAUAUUUUUUACUAGAAUUACAAUGUGUGGAUUUCAUCUUGUCACACUCAUUGUGUUUGGGAGAGUUCAUGUCUUCACACUGAAGAGACAGGCCAGUCUUUCCACUUCCAUCUCAACAUACAUUUUGCUUUAAAUGCAGCAGCUUGAGUCACGGUUGAUCGUUUUCUGCAUGUUUCUACGUGCUAAAACUCGUUUAUUUUUGCUUCUCUAUCUACGUAUCACCUGCCAGAAGUGAAUACGGUUCUGUUAGUGCUGCAGAUAAUUGAAUAUACCAAGGAAAUCCUUCAAAAGUGGAUACAAGUAGUAAAAUUGGCCACUCAAAAAUCCAAGAUGGCGGCAUUUUCAAGAUGGCUGCCAAUGAUGGCUUGGAAACGUCAUUUUUUUUUUAACAUAAAAUCACUUUCACUUGCCCUGUAUUAAGGAUCUUGGUCUCAAAUCAUAACAUUUUGAUCACAAAGGAACCAAAUUCAGACGUCAUGAAUUAUACAAAAGUUUAUUUUUACCAUUUCUAAGCCAUAACAUCAACGUAAUCUGCCAAUGGAAAACUGAGUAGCCCAACAUGCGUGGUAGUGGAGAUGGUUGAGGUAUUUUUGCGUGUAGAAGUGUAGUAGUAGGCCUACUGGUGACAUAUUGGUGUUCAUUGUGCGCUAACUAGUUUUGCUAACAUAAAAUACUGGUAUUAGUGUGGUUUAGUGUCGCAGAUGCUUUCUAAUAAGCCCCACAUUUUAACAUAAUGAAUAUAAAAUGACAGAAAAAAGCUCUGAAGAAGUUUUUUAUUAGUGAAUUUGACUCCCCUAUUGGCAAUAACAUAUCAUUCAAUCCCAAAAUCACCAAAAGGUAUCCAGUUCACUUGGCUGGAUAUGGCGGCCAUCUUGGAAAACGGUCGCAACUUUGAAAAUUCAAGUGGCUUUUUUAAAUGAACGACCCCAGAGGGAUGAAAAUUGACAUGUUGGAGCUUGUAUCCACUUCUGAGAGAUUGUUACAGCUAUCUGCAGCACUAUGUGUUUCUCUGGAGCACUGAGGAAUGCAAAAAGUAAUUAAUUAUUUUGAGGGAAAUGAAUACACAGGUUGUGCUCCGAGGUCGUAAACCAUGGUUGCAUUAAUGCACUGGCUUCUUAACAUGGCAACGAGGGUGUAUUCAUGGCAUUGUUUGUCUUAAUUAUGUGUUCACACAGCAAGAAGCGUGCAUAAUGACUCCCCAAAUGAUCAAGGUUUGCACCGUCAGAGCUUGGAUCAGGCUUUUCGUGUCAUUGUAAAAACCAUUUAAAACGAUAAACAUAUCAUCAAAGCUAACAGUGGCUGCAACCAUUUAUGAAUGUUUUGUUCUUCAACGGUUAAAAGCUAGCAUCUUUAGAGUGGUGUAGGAAUGAGUCCUAAAACCUGGUAAUGAGUCAGCAUUUUACAACUACGUCUGGUGGUUAAUACAAGCUGAAGAGAUUUUACCUCUAUGAAAAAAAAAUGUCAGUAAAUACCCAACUUGUUAAUUUAAAAACAGCGGUUGCCACCAAGUGUCUAAAUGAGACGACUACAAAGUCAAAGAUGGCGGCAUUUUCAAGAUGGCCUCCAAUGAUGGCUUGGACAUUUCAUUUUUUGUUUCAAAUCAUAAACUUUUGACCACGAAGAAACCAAAUUCAGACGUCAGGAAUUACUCAGACGUGAGAUUUUCCUUUUGAACAAAACGUCUAAGUUACAAACGUUUGUCUGCCACUGAUCAUCCUUUUUGCUAAAUACCUAAAUCCAAUGGAAAAAACAAUUGGCUUUUUGUCGAGGGAACCCUUGCGAUGCUAACUUCGGCAUCUUCCCACAAAGUUACUUCGUCACUGCACCACUCUAUAGGAUAAACCAUAUCAAAUCUGUAGAUAGAAAUGCGUCAAUACCAAUCAUAUCUAGUGAUGAAACAUUUUUCACGAGUAUGUCACUUGUUACCAGUAGGAGGUAAUGGUGUUUCUUGUUGUGUGGACACUUAAAAUUCUCAAUUGCCAUGUUUGAUUGGAGUUUCCCAAUGUGCAACAAACAUUAACAACGUGAUAGCUUUAAUAUAUCAUUCUCAUGCAUGAAGGCUUUCCGUAUUAAGACAUGGGGUCGUACAAAGGGAGGUGAAAGGUUUCUUGUGAAGUGCAUUAGAUAAUCGCCUGAAAAUCUGUGCAUUUUCUUAAAUUUGUUUGAUAUUUUAAAAUGCAGCCGUAGUGAUUGGUGGGAGCUGUUUUCUAUUAGAUAUAGGGGGACUACAGGAGUGUCCAAAACUCUACAUGCCUCUGUUAAAAACGUGAUUUAAUUUAAAUUCUGUACUCGUAAAAGGAAUUACCACUAAGUUCACACUGUAUGCUGAUGACACUGCUGUUUUGUGUUUGGAUGGGUUUGGGGUGGGGGAAGGGUUUCUGAUUAGGUUUCGAUGUUUUCCAGUCUGAUGUCUGAUCAAACUAUUAACUGACUUGUUAUCGUUCAUUUAUGAAUCACAGAGCAGAUGCCACUUCACGUGUAGGACUGAGAUUGUGUGAUUUGUAUUUUACAGCGAGCGCUAUUUCGCUUCGGUGGCUGCUUCCAUUUUCAAUCAAACUUCAAAAUAUGUCUUACCAAUAAAUAAAUAGAUCUGAAUACUGUCUUCUUCCUGAAGGGUGCGUUCACACCGGAUGAUAAGUGGAGAUUUCAGUUUAACCGCGGCAUCAUUUGUGUUUACUCCAACUAGACGUGCUGGCGAGGAGGCGGGGCUUAAGUCAAUGUAGACAACAAAUUGAACAUAUUUCGCCGUAGUAAAUACGGAUAUAAAUGAGUAAAUCCAUGAAUUAAUGCUUUAGCAAGUUUUUCCACAAGAAGGCAGGCAAACACUUUAAACAUCUAGAGUUUGGAUCAAUCAGGCUAGGCUAAGCUAACGUUGACUUGACAUGUUACGUGCCGCGCGAAAAAUUAGCUUAGCAUCCAGUGUGAACGCACCAUAAGGAAUUCAUAUUUACUUUGUUCCAUUUUUUUCUGGUAGGAACAGGAGUGUUUCUCCAAAUGUUUGACCUACCAUUCAUUCCCAAAAAGAUACAAAAAAAACAACAUUCAUGUAGAUAUUCAGGAAAGAUCAAGAUUCAAUUUGGAUGAAUUAGCAUAAUGUUAGUUUAGGCUACUGUAUGUGUCAUUUUAUUUUAUAUUAAAUGCCCAGUAAAGUGGGAAAAAAAAAGGUCUCACAGUGUAGUUUCUCCACAUUAAAUGAAUUUGUCUUGUCUCUGGUUCAUGCGUUGCUAAAUGAUGUGACUGCAUCUCAGGUAGAAUGCAAAGUUUUAGGCCCCACCAAAUCACAUAAAAGCAAGUACAAUGCAUCCUCAUCAAGUGCAACACAUUAUUUUAGAUCCAAGAGGCAAACAUUUGGUGGUAUUUUGCAUAUAUGUUGUACAUGUUUCCUGUAUUUUUCUUAAUAUUUGGUGCACUGUAAAAGAUGUGUUGAGUAUUGCUUUGUGUUGACAUAGGUCAUAAAGAGUACACUGUUUAUUGGAAUGAAGCAGGAUCAGAAAACUUGUUGUGGCUGUACUUCUACUACUACUUCUACUUCUUCUUCUGUCACUAUCCUCGCACCACCGCCUUUGGAAGCACGUUUGAAUCCCGAAAAAGUUCUGAUAGUGUCACCAGUCAUUGUUUUUAGAUUGAUUCCUUUAUGUCUCUCUGCUGUUCUUGGGAAAUGUUAAUGUGUAUUAAUGGAGAAAAAGGAGUUCCACAUUCCCAUACACAUUUUGUAUUGGUUCAUAAAUAGACAUUUUUACAAAACAAUGAAGAGUUCUUGUCUUAAUAAAAAAGAAAAGAUAUUAAUGUCCAAAAUAA